rnacentral:rRNA from 1 species
ACGAACGCUGGCGGUAUGCUUAACACAUGCAAGUCGAACGGGUAUAGCAAUAUAUCAGUGGCAAACGGGUGAGUAAUGCAAAGGAAUCUACCUAGCAGUAAGGGAUAACUUCGAGAAAUCGAAGCUAAUACCAUAUAUUACCCUUCGGGGGAAAGAUUUAUCGCUGUUAGAUGAGCCUUUGUCGGAUUAGCUAGUUGGUAGGGUAAUGGCCUACCAAGGCGAUGAUCCGUAGCUGGUCUGAGAGGAUGAUCAGCCACACUGGGACUGCGACACGGCCCAGACUCCUACGGGAGGCAGCAGUGGGGAAUAUUGGACAAUGGGCGCAAGCCUGAUCCAGCAAUACCGCGUGAAUGAUGAAGGUCUUCGGAUUGUAAAGUUCUUUUAGUGAGGAAGAUAAUGACGGUACUCACAGAAAAAGCACCGGCUAACUUCGU